rnacentral:rRNA from 1 species
AGAGUUUGAUCCUGGCUCAGAUUGAACGCUGGCGGCAUGCCUUACACAUGCAAGUCGAACGGCAGCACGAGAGCUUGCUCUUUGUGGCGAGUGGCGAACGGGUGAGUAAUAUAUCGGAACGUACCCUAGAGUGGGGGAUAACGUAGCGAAAGUUACGCUAAUACCGCGUACGAUCUACGGAUGAAAGUGGGGGAUCGCAAGACCUCAUGCUCAUGGAGCGGCCGAUAUCUGAUUAGCUAGUUGGUGGGGUAAAAGCUCACCAAGGCGACGAUCAGUAGCUGGUCUGAGAGGACGACCAGCCACACUGGAACUGAGACACGGUCCAGACUCCUACGGGAGGCAGCAGUGGGGAAUUUUGGACAAUGGGCGCAAGCCUGAUCCAGCAAUGCCGCGUGAGUGAAGAAGGCCUUCGGGUUGUAAAGCUCUUUUGUCAGGGAAGAAACGGUGGACUCUAAUACAGAUCACUAAUGACGGUACCUGAAGAAUAAGCACCGGCUAACUACGUGCCAGCAGCCGCGGUAAUACGUAGGGUGCAAGCGUUAAUCGGAAUUACUGGGCGUAAAGCGUGCGCAGGCGGUUGUGCAAGACAGAUGUGAAAUCCCCGGGCUCAACCUGGGAAUUGCAUUUGUGACUGCACGGCUAGAGUGUGUCAGAGGGGGGUAGAAUUCCACGUGUAGCAGUGAAAUGCGUAGAGAUGUGGAGGAAUACCGAUGGCGAAGGCAGCCCCCAGGGAUAACACUGACGCUCAUGCACGAAAGCGUGGGGAGCAAACAGGAUUAGAUACCCUGGUAGUCCACGCCCUAAACGAUGUCUACUAGUUGUCGGGUCUUAAUUGACUUGGUAACGCAGCUAACGCGUGAAGUAGACCGCCUGGGGAGUACGGUCGCAAGAUUAAAACUCAAAGGAAUUGACGGGGACCCGCACAAGCGGUGGAUGAUGUGGAUUAAUUCGAUGCAACGCGAAAAACCUUACCUACCCUUGACAUGUCUGGAAUCCUUGAGAGAUCAGGGAGUGCUCGAAAGAGAAUCAGAACACAGGUGCUGCAUGGCUGUCGUCAGCUCGUGUCGUGAGAUGUUGGGUUAAGUCCCGCAACGAGCGCAACCCUUGUCAUUAGUUGCUACGAAAGGGCACUCUAAUGAGACUGCCGGUGACAAACCGGAGGAAGGUGGGGAUGACGUCAAGUCCUCAUGGCCCUUAUGGGUAGGGCUUCACACGUCAUACAAUGGUACAUACAGAGGGCCGCCAACCCGCGAGGGGGGGCUAAUCCCAGAAAGUGUAUCGUAGUCCGGAUUGUAGUCUGCAACUCGACUACAUGAAGUUGGAAUCGCUAAUAAUCGCGGAUCAGCAUGUCGCGGUGAAUACGUUCCCGGGUCUUGUACACACCGCCCGUCACACCAUGGGAGCGGGUUUCACCAGAAGUGGGUAGCCUAACCGCAA